rnacentral:rRNA from 1 species
CGCGGCAAGACGGAAAGACCCCGUGAACCUUUACUAUAGCUUGACACUGAACAUUGAGCCUUGAUGUGUAGGAUAGGUGGGAGGCUUUGAAGUGUGGACGCCAGUCUGCAUGGAGCCGACCUUGAAAUACCACCCUUUAAUGUUUGAUGUUCUAACGUGGACCCGUGAUCCGGGUUGCGGACAGUGUCUGGUGGGUAGUUUGACUGGGGCGGUCUCCUCCUAAAGAGUAACGGAGGAGCACGAAGGUUGGCUAAUCCUGGUCGGACAUCAGGAGGUUAGUGCAAUGGCAUAAGCCAGCUUGACUGCGAGCGUGACGGCGCGAGCAGGUGCGAAAGCAGGUCAUAGUGAUCCGGUGGUUCUGAAUGGAAGGGCCAUCGCUCAACGGAUAAAAGGUACUCCGGGGAUAACAGGCUGAUACCGCCCAAGAGUUCAUAUCGACGGCGGUGUUUGGCACCUCGAUGUCGGCUCAUCACAUCCUGGGGCUGAAGUAGGUCCCAAGGGUAUGGCUGUUCGCCAUUUAAAGUGGUACGCGAGCUGGGUUUAGAACGUCGUGAGACAGUUCGGUCCCUAUCUGCCGUGGGCGCUGGAGAACUGAGGGGGGCUGCUCCUAGUACGAGAGGACCGGAGUGGACGCAUCACUGGUGUUCGGGUUGUCAUGCCAAUGGCACUGCCCGGUAGCUAAAUGCGGAAGAGAUAAGUGCUGAAAGCAUCUAAGCACGAAACUUGCCCCGAGAUGAGUUCUCCCUGAGACUUAGAGUCUCCUGAAGGAACGUUGAAGACGACGACGUUGAUAGGCCGGGUGUGUAAGCGCAGCGAUGCGUUGAGCUAACCGGUACUAAUGAACCGUGAGGCUUAACCUUACA